GCUUUUGGUCAAGGAAUGUGCCGACGGGUGCAGUUUUUGCCACAAACCCAAACGCAAUGAAAACCCAGCCCAGUUGAAUUUAGUCUGUUUGGCCAGCUAAACAAGUCUCAGGUUCUUAGUGAGGUCUCCGAUCUCAAGCAGGUAUUCUCCUUUAUGCUCUUUCAUCUCUCUCUCUCUCUCUCUCUCUCUCUCUCUGUCUCUUUCUCUUUCGCUCUCUGUAUUGUGAAUCCGGGCCAUAAAUUGUGAAUUAAAUGCACGGAGCGCGUUUUUUUUUUUGCUUCGGCUUUGGCCAAUUCAACGAUAUGUGUAUCCACUGUUAUUAAAUCAAAUGUGGACAGACGGCGGCACACGCAGGAAGGCAGACAGAGACGACAGAGGCCAAGAUUGUUAAGAUUGCUCGGAUUGGAUUGGGAGCGAUGCACUUGGAAGUCGCCUUUUCAGUUGCGUUUGAAGCCUCCUGUCGGACAAUAAGGGAAUAAUAAAAAAAAAAUAUACAAUGAAUUUAUUUUCACGUCUCAAACGUCUGGGCGGAGCUGCCAGCAAAAAUUCUGUAACGCUGCCAGUUGUAG